CAAAACUACGGUCUCAGUUCAGAUUGCAGGCUGCAACUCGCCUGCAUGAAGUUGGAAUUGCUAGUAAUCGCGAAUCAGAAUGUCGCGGUGAAUACGUUCCCGGGCCUUGUACACACCGCCCGUCACACCAUGAGAGUUGGGAAUACCCGAAGCCUGUGAGCUAACGAAAGAGGCAGCAGUCGAAGGUAGAAUCAAUGAUUGGGGUGAAGUCGUAACAAGGUAGC
rnacentral:rRNA from 1 species